GGCCAGGAACGGAAAGUGUCUUUCCACAAAUCUAGAGAGAAGUUCUCGGCUCUAAAAGGGAUCCUAUUUGUUUCUGCAUUUAUCAGAUUGGUGGGACCUGGGUUUCCCAGUGGACCGAGGCACUGGAAGUGAAGUUGAUCGGUAGGGAUCACGAUCUUAUCAGCCAACUCCUAAAGGGUUUGGAGAAUGAAGAAACAAAAGGAAGACAGAGAAAAAGAAAAAUAAGAAAAAGGGUGCUCAGUAGCCAGAUUUGAAGAUGAACAAGAGUACAGUAAAAGUAUAAAAGAAGGAUGGUAGACUGACCUCAGGAACGAUGAAGUUGAUGGCCAUUUCUUCCCGAGGAACAGGAGGGAUCGAAGACUUGGAAGAAUUGGUGGAGGAGACCCUUGCUGGAGUUCUUGGAGUUCUCAGGUAAUGCCGCCGCCAGGAAGGUGGAUUUUGGGGCUGUAGAAUGAUAAGAUGGAGAAAGAGUACCGGAGAAGGAAGUAUUUAUAGGAC
rnacentral:lncRNA from 1 species